AGGCUAAAGCUGCCAAUACUCUGUACGACCAACAGCAGUUCAACAACGCUUCUAUCUGCAGUGAUCCUUUAUUUCUCUAGCUCCACGCUACUAACUAGCUCACUGUUUACAAAUCAGCCAUCAGCCAACACCACGAAGCAACCGACACCAGAUCCACACCGCAACGCCACACCGCAACGCCAGACUCACACCACAACACCACACGCAAGCCAGACCCACACCACAACACCAGACCCACACCCAACGCCAGAUCCACACCGCAACGCCACACCGCAACGCCAGACUCACACCACAACACCACACCGCAACGCCAGACCCACACCACAACGCCAGACCCACACCGCAACGCCAGAUCCACACCGCAACGCCACACCACAACGCCACACCACAACGCCAGACCCACACCGCAACGCCACACCACAACGCCAGACCCACAACGCCAGAUCCACACCGCAACCCCAGACCCACACCGCAACGCCAGAUCCACACCGCAACGCCACACCGCAACGCCAGACUCACACCACAACACCAGAUCCACACCGCAACGCCACACCGCAACGCCAGACUCACACCACAACACCAGAUCCACACCACAACGCCAGAUCCACACCACAACGCCAGACCCACACCGCAACGCCACACCGCAACGCCAGACCCACACCACAACGCCAGACCCACACCGCAGCCGCAGAUCCACACCGUAACGCCAGACCCACACCGCAACGCCACACCACAACGCCAGAUCCACACCGCAACGCCACACCACAACGCCAGACCCACACCGCAACGCCACACCACAACGCCAGACCCACACCACAACGCCAGACCCACACCGCAACGCCAGACCCACACCGCAACGCCACACCGCAACGCCAGACCCACACCGCAACCCCAGACCCACACCGCAACGCCAGACCCACACCGCAACGCCAGACCCACACCGCAACGCCACACCGCAACGCCAGACCCACACCGCAACCCCAGACCCACACCGCAACCCCAGAUCCACACCGCAACGCCAGAUCCACACCGCAACGCCCCACCGCAACGCCAGACUCACACCACAACACCAGAUCCACACCGCAACGCCACACCGCAACGCCAGACUCACACCACAACACCAGAUCCACACCGCAACGCCAGACCCACACCGCAACCCCAGACCCACACCGCAACCCCAGACCCACACCGCAACCCCAGACCCACACCGCAACCCCAGACUCACACCGACGCCAGACACAGCCGGGCAACCCCAGUUAG
rnacentral:lncRNA from 1 species